GUACACUCCUACGGGAGGCAGCAGUGGGGAAUUUUGGACAAUGGGCGAAAGCCUGAUCCAGCCAUGCCGCGUGCAGGAUGAAGGCCUUCGGGUUGUAAACUGCUUUUGUACGGAACGAAACGGCCUUUUCUAAUAAAGAGGGCUAAUGACGGUACCGUAAGAAUAAGCACCGGCUAACUACGUGCCAGCAGCCGCGGUAAUACGUAGGGUGCAAGCGUUAAUCGGAAUUACUGGGCGUAAAGCGUGCGCAGGCGGUUAUGUAAGACAGUUGUGAAAUCCCCGGGCUCAACCUGGGAACUGCAUCUGUGACUGCAUAGCUAGAGUACGGUAGAGGGGGAUGGAAUUCCGCGUGUAGCAGUGAAAUGCGUAGAUAUGCGGAGGAACACCGAUGGCGAAGGCAAUCCCCUGGACCUGUACUGACGCUCAUGCACGAAAGCGUGGGGAGCAAACAGGAUUAGAAACCCUAGUAGUCCCAUGA
rnacentral:rRNA from 1 species